rnacentral:rRNA from 1 species
UACGAAGGGGGCUAGCGUUGCUCGGAAUCACUGGGCGUAAAGCGCACGUAGGCGGAUUGCUAAGUCAGGGGUGAAAUCCUGGAGCUCAACUCCAGAACUGCCCUUGAUACUGGCGGUCUCGAGUCCGGGAGAGGUGAGUGGAACUGCGAGUGUAGAGGUGAAAUGCGUAGAUAUUGGGAGGAACACCAGUGGCGAAGGCGGCUCACUGGACCGGAACUGACGCUGAGGCGCGAAAGCGUGGGGAGCAAACAGG